AUUGAACGCUGGCGGCGUGCUUAACACAUGCAAGUCGUGCGGUAACAGGCGUAGCAAUACGUGCUGACGAGCGGCGAACGGGUGCGUAAUACAUGGGAAUCUGCCCUUUAGUGGGGAAUAACCCGGCGAAAGCCGGGCUAAUGCCGCAUAAGAUCGUCGGAUGAAAGCGGGGGGAUCGUAAGACCUCGCGCUGAUGGAUGAGCCCAUGUCGGAUUAGCAGUUGGUGAGGUAAAGGCUCACCAAGGCGACGAUCCGUAGCUGGUCUGAGAGGACGGCCAGCCACACUGGGACUGAGACACGGCCCAGACUCCUACGGGAGGCAGCAGUGGGGAAUAUUGGACAAUGGGGAACCCUGAUCCAGCGACGCCGCGUGUGUGAAGAAGGCCU
rnacentral:rRNA from 1 species